rnacentral:ribozyme from 12 species
UUUUUUUUUUUUUUUUUUUUUUUUUUUUUUUUUUUUUUUUUGGUUUACAAUUGUUUCUAUUUGUUACGAACUAGCAGAUGCAAGAUUACGUAUUUUAAAUUCACAGAAAAGUCUUUGU